CCUACGGUGGGCAGCAGUGGGGAAUAUUGGACAAUGGGCGAAAGCCUGAUCCAGCCAUGCCGCGUGUGUGAAGAAGGCCUUCGGGUUGUAAAGCACUUUCAGUGGGGAAGAAAGCCUUGGGGCUAAUACCCUCGAGGAAGGACAUCACCCACAGAAGAAGCACCGGCUAACUCCGUGCCAGCAGCCGCGGUAAUACGGAGGGUGCGAGCGUUAAUCGGAAUUACUGGGCGUAAAGCGCGCGUAGGCGGUCUGAUAAGCCGGUUGUGAAAGCCCCGGGCUCAACCUGGGAACGGCAUCCGGAACUGUCAGGCUAGAGUGCAGGAGAGGAAGGUAGAAUUCCCGGUGUAGCGGUGAAAUGCGUAGAGAUCGGGAGGAAUACCAGUGGCGAAGGCGGCCUUCUGGACUGACACUGACGCUGAGGUGCGAAAGCGUGGGUAGCAAACAGGAUUAGAUACCCGUGUAGUC
rnacentral:rRNA from 1 species